CUUGGAUGGAUCACUUCACACUCAGACACCUCCUAUGAUUAGGUUUAUUUUAUUAUGGGGAGAUGAAGCUGAUGAACAGCUCUGUGAUAAGCAGCUGGCAAGAAUUUCUUCUGAAAGUCAGAUUUUUCUUUUGGUAAACUGGAAGAGGCGUGAACUAGCUACUGUCUUGUGUGGGGAGACAGAGAUCAGCCAGCAGGAGAUAGCCUCAGGCAGCCCUGUGGAUUAGUUCCAUACAGGUCAACACUGCUGAGAGGAAAGGAGGUAUCUGAGGACAUGAGGAAGAGAGUAGUGAUGGCCCAUCAGUCUGGGGAGGGCUGUAAGACAUCUCCAAAAGAUUCCAGCUCCAUCCAUCCACUGUAAGACAAAUCAUUUACAAAUGGAGGGCCUUCAACAUGACAGCAACUCUGCCGAGAAGUGGACGCCCAUCAAAACUACAUCUCGUGUGUGUCCAUUAUUUUAAAGCAAUUAAAGGACUCCACCAAUUCUAUGCAUGGAAAUCAGUUUACACAACAUGAAGAGUGCCAUCCUGUGAGAACAGCUUCUCUUGUCUUCGGUGGUGCUGCUGGAAGCUUUCAAGUCUGAAAAGAACCCAGAUGAUAUCAUCACUCAGAAUUCAGCAUUUUCUAAGUGCGACCCUUACAGUAACAUUUGUUUCUGACCAUCCCCCCCUGCACCCAACCUGCCCCGAGCAAUGCUAAAUGGCGAAAUGGUUGGACUGGCCCUGUUAAAUGAUGCACCUUAAUGAUGGAAGUCACUGAAAUGUCAAAUGGCCUCAGCUAUACUGAACACUGAGACUUUACAACAAACUCAGUGCUAAAACCACAUUAGUCCAUCCUCUUUUGCCACUUGGGGGCAGCAGAACAAACACAACCUUGUCAUAGUUUCACCUCAUAAAGUUGCUACAGCAAAAGGGUAAACUAAAUAGAAUAACAAAAGACAGCAGCCUCAGCCUGUUCCCCCCGCUGCUGUUUGGCAAGCAAUACAGAUGCCACCAGACUCUGAAGCAGCUACAUUCCUCAGGCUGUUUGACUCCUUAAAAAGCAGACUACACAGCCAUAAUUUUGUUGUACAGCCCUGGUUGUAAAAUGAUAAUUUCACAAAUCUUAAAAAUUGGAUCUAGACACAAUUACCCAUUUAUACUUCUGGCAGACACAGAACAAAAUUAGUGUUUCGGGCGAGCUGACCAGUGCUCACAGUGAGCUGGUAGUCGCUUGGUAAACUGGUAAACACUCCCACAUCUCUUGGUGCACCAAGACUAUUUUCUUCCCUCUUUUCUGCCCUCACCAUAUCUAGUUCUCUGGGCAAUUCAUAAUGGCACUAAAUAAACUGAAUCACCUGCGA